rnacentral:misc_RNA from 1 species
AACUUGCUGCAAUGUAUCACUUGGUUCUGGCAUCGAUGAAGAACGCAGCGAAAUGCGAUAAGUAAUGUGAAUUGCAGAAUUCAGUGAAUCAUCGAAUCUUUGAACGCACAUUGCGCCCGGUGGCAUUCCGCCGGGCAUGCCUGUUCGAGCGUCAUUUAAACCAAUCCAGCCUCGUGCUUGGGUCUUGGGCCUUUCGCCUCUGGGCGGGCCUCAAAAUCAGUGGCGGCGCCUCCUGGCUCUACGCGUAGUAAUACUCCUCGCUAUAGAUGUCUGGUGGUGUCCUGCCAAAACCCCCAUAUUUUUUAAGGUUGACCUCGGAUCAGGUAGGGAUACCCGCUGAACUUAAGCAUAUCAAUAAGCGGAGGCU